GAACCUGUACGUGGAACUAAGAAAGUAUAAGUCAGGCCAAUGAGGGAGGAAGAGGAAGGCUUGGCCUUUCUUCAAAAGAUGGCCAAAGCAUGAAAAUGGACAUUAACGAGGCUAUAAGGAAUGCCAUGCUUGCUUGACAAACCAGAUCUAGACCAAGCAGGCCCAUGAGCCUUAGUCAACUACCUACCAAGCCCAGCAAAUCUGGCAAAGGUACGCCAAAGUGACAACGUUGCUAGGAGGAGCUUACUGUAUUACCUCUAUUCAAGCUUCAGUCACUACCCUUGCGGCCUCAACCAAGACUUUCAACUCCCAGCUUGAGGAUCCAGUUUUGGGGCAGUCCCCCCUGCUCAGUCGAUCAGAUCCUCCAGUCCGCCAGGAAGCUGGCAAUGGAGCCCUUUGGCUCCGAAGCAUCCAACACUUAGCCUUGGCAUUAACUCGGGUGGAUUCUCUCCUCAAGGAGCCCCGGCUAUAUCUCCUCAUCACCGAGAACGCUAUGUGAGCUAGUGACGCCAGCGAUUUAGGGUGGUUGAGACUGACGAGUUGUACGACAACGCUAUAUAUUCUUUCAUGGAACGCGUCUUGUCAGUAUACCUUACCUAGGAGAGGGAUAAUGCCCUUAGGAGGAAUUUUGGGCUACUGGAGUGAGAAAAGAACCUCUAUCUGGAGGAGAUCCGGUAGUUGAAAGCCUAAGUGGACGAGGUGGAGAGCACAAUGAAGGAGACAUUGGAGCCUGUAGACAAGCUCUAGGCAAACUUGGGCAAGGCCAAUGAUGCGAAGGCCACCUUGAAAAAUCGGACAAAAGCUACUGAGGAUCAAGUGGCUGAGCUUUAACCAUAAAUCCAUGUACAGCAGGCCCACGCCUAGGAGAACCGAGCUACUGCUGACAAAGUUGUAGAACUGGAGAAUGAGCUUAAAGUGGUAGUGGCUCGAGGGGGAAGACUUUAUGUGGAAGCAUAAGAUGUUGACAAAAAGUAGCUGACUGUGCACUUCCUUGGAGGACUUCUCCUAGGUUGACAACAUCCUACUUGAGGAUGAUGAGGAGGAGGAGGAGCAAGAAGGGGAAGAAAGCCCAAAAGAUGAAAACAACCCUUCCAACCUGAUUUUUACCAGAGAUAAUGUAAUAAUUGUAGAUGACAAUAUAAUAGAAGCUCAAGAGUACUCUCCUGCCUUAUAACUGUAUCUCCUCCUCACUUAAUGAAAAAGAUCCUCUUUUUGUUCA